UGAAUUUAACAGAUUAAGGAUAACGGGAAGAUAUUAGUGAACAGCAAAAACUUGGAUCAGCAAGCUAAUAAUAUAUUUAACUCUCCAAACUCCUCCACUUGGUUGCUUCUAUCUCCAUUUCCAAGACCACACUCACUUCCUUCUUUGACUAUUGGGUACUAUUUCUCAAUACCAUAACCAUUUAUAUAUAAUAGAUAUAGAUAUAAUCUUUGAUUGGAAGAUUUUAAAAGUCUCUAUGCAACUCGGAUGCCCAAUACAGGCUCCAAACUAACACAACUUCUUUACUUAAAUUUUUAUUAGCUUUGGUUAGCUUGAGCCAAAACUAAUACAGGCAUCAGAUAUAUAUAUAUAUAUAUUGUACACGAAUAUAUAAAUGGUGCAGUGAGACUUUCCAAGAAAGAGUACAUGAAUAUAUAUAUUAUUAGCUUGCUGAUCUAAGUUUUUGCUGUCAACAAUUUUUUAGCUUCACUUAAGGAAAUUUGUUGAAAAUCAAAUCAAUGGGUUGAUCAAGAUAGGUCUACUCCACUCUCCUAUUCUCUCCAACCAUGUCGUCGGUAUAAUGCAGUACCGAUCCGUUUGCCAAGAAUGACUGGUAUGACAUCAAGGCUCCUUCUCUCUUCAACCAAAGAUAAGUUGGCAAAACUCUUCUUGGGAACUAAGAUUUAUCUACUGAAAUUUUAAGCUUUAAUGAUUUUGAUUAUUAUUUAUAUUUUUGAUAUAUUUAUUAUUAUUAUUUUUGGGAUAGGCACUUCAAGAUUUAACUUAGUUGCUCAUGGAUUUACAAUUUUCAGACUAAUAAAAAACCUUUUUUAUUAGUAUUUGUGUGGAUGUAAAGCUUUAUUUGUACUUUAUUAGGUGUUUUGGUAGAGAAAUGUGAUUCCUAGCUAGACUAAAGCCGUUAUUUUUUUUUUCAUCCUUUCAUUUUGUGCAUUUAAGUUUUGGGUGGUUUAAAUUUAAGCAGGCUACCAAUGGUAAAAGUUAUGUCGAUAUUUAAAUUUAUUAUGAUGAUAACUUCGGUGCUUAAGGAGAUUAGGAUGACACUGCUUGCUCAAGAACCUUAUUUUACAUCAAUUAGUUAUUUCUUUUGUUAAAUUUUUAUAUGGUAUUCAUUUCGGUAAAGGUAAUUUAGAUUGAAGAAAUGCUAAACUCAACUGUUAUGUUAUUUCAUAUAUCUAAUUGGGCUAAUUUGCAUUAUUUUCUUUGUGUUGUAUAGUUGAUUGAGUGCAUACUAUAUAACUUCAUUUAUAUUUAAUUUAUGUUUUUAUACUCUCACAGAUAGAUUGCUUCUGAAUGUCUUAACAAUAGAUUGCUUAUCUCCAAAAGGUUGCAAAUCAUGCUUAUUGGAAAAUCUGUUUGAGAGUUGAAGAUGUUCAAGGGAAGAAUGUUCUCACAAACUUCUGGAUAAGUUGAGGUCGCUUGUCUUAAAGAAAGAGAAGGCUUGUGUGCAAGUGGCAAACACUAAUUAAGGCUCAUGUGGAUGUCACGACCACUGACAUUGCUUUCACUGAGAUAUGGUAAAAGACUAAUUGAUUGCAGAAAUUUUCCCCGGGGUACGAUCAGUGAUAUGGUAAAAGAUGUUUGUCGGGGGAUAUCAUUUGUUUAUAACAACAUAGCAUACUACGGUGGUGACACUGACAGGUAUAAAGUUGAACAUGGAGAUGAGGGAGAGGAAAAUAAUAAUUAUGGAGUCAGUAGCCUCAGAAAGCAGGAAGAAGAGGGGGAGGAGCUCACUGGUCACACCACCACCGAGAUCAAGAGGUGGGAUCAAGCGCAAGAUUUUGUUUCUCCUCUUCAAACAACUCAAGCUUGUAACUCUACAACUUCUCAAUCACCUACAUUCCGAGUGAUAUUAUUAGUCUUAUCUUACUAUUUGCACUUUUUUCUUUCAGUUGUUGAAGGCAUCCUCCCUCUAUACACUUAUACGUAUAUAUAUUUUUUAAGUGUGUGUUUCUUAAUAUAGUUAUUCCCCAUUUGUUAAAAUAUAAUUAUAUGCAUAAUGUAUGUACUAGUUAUUCUUCAAGAUAUCAAUUUCAUAUAUAUCGGGACGCGA